rnacentral:rRNA from 1 species
UACGUAGGUGGCAAGCGUUAUCCGGAUUUACUGGGUGUAAAGGGCGUGUAGGCGGGACUGCAAGUCAGAUGUGAAAACCAGGGGCUCAACUCCUGGCCUGCAUUUGAAACUGUAGUUCUUGAGUGUUGGAGAGGCAGGCGGAAUUCCGUGUGUAGCGGUGAAAUGCGUAGAUAUACGGAGGAACACCAGUGGCGAAGGCGGCCUGCUGGACAAUAACUGACGCUGAGGCGCGAAAGCGUGGGGAGCAAACAGG